rnacentral:lncRNA from 1 species
UCCUUACAAAAGACCAAAUGUUUCAUGAGAGAACAAAACACAUUGAUGUUCGUUAUCAUUUUGUUCGUGAUAUUAUUGCUUGUGAUGAUAUUGUUAUGAGCAAAAUUAGUACUCAUGAAAAUCCUGCAGAUAUGAUUGUAAUAUCCAAUUUUUGCCCGAGCCCAACUAAACCUAAAGCCUAGGUUACAUCAAACCUAAACCCAUUAGCCUAAAACUAGACCUAACCCUAAUGGCCCAAACCCAUAACAGUCAAAGAAAUCUUAAGCAGAUUGAAGCAAAUCGGUGUCGCAGCAAUUGCCCUCGUCGCGGCAACCGUCACCACCCACGUUCAUCAUGCUCGCACGUUCAGCAGCCUUGCAGUGCCCGUUUCCAUGUACCUGUAACAAAUAAACCACAAGCAACACUAAUAUGAUAGAUACAACAUAUUGUAAAGAAGUUUUGGCUAUAAAAAGACAAUGGAUUUCUGUAAUAGGGGUUAGCAAAAAUAUUGUAUGAAAAAACAUUAAAGAAAAUACCAAAAUAAGGAAUCAAAAAGGCAAAUUUUUGAAGGUAUUUGUUCUGUUCCUUUUCUUCCUUUUAUUUUUUUCUAUCUUGUUUCUUAAAACAAAAGCGGAAAAGGGAAGUAGAGGAGGACUUACCGUCGCAUGCAGCAUUAAGGGAUCUUCAUUCCGUCGUCGGAGUGAGAGGAAUGCAGAGCGGCAAUGGGAAAGGGAGGCUGCGGCAAACACA